rnacentral:rRNA from 1 species
GGGCUGCAGUGAGGAAUAUUGGACAAUGGGCGAGAGCCUGAUCCAGCCAUGCCGCGUGCAGGAAGACUGCCCUAUGGGUUGUAAACUGCUUUUAAACGGGAAGAAACACCCCCUCGUGAGGGGGCUUGACGGUACCGUAAGAAUAAGGAUCGGCUAACUCCGUGCCAGCAGCCGCGGUAAUACGGAGGAUCCAAGCGUUAUCCGGAAUCAUUGGGUUUAAAGGGUCCGUAGGCGGACAGCUAAGUCAGUGGUGAAAGUCUGUAGCUCAACUAUAGAAUUGCCAUUGAUACUGGUUGUCUUGAAUCAUUAUGAAGUGGUUAGAAUAAGUAGUGUAGCGGUGAAAUGCAUAGAUAUUACUUAGAAUACCAAUUGCGAAGGCAGAUCACUAAUAAUGUAUUGACGCUGAUGGACGAAAGCGUGGGGAGCGAACAGGAUUAGAUACCCCAGUAGUC